UUUCACACCUGGAUGUGCUCACUCAACCAAGAAUAUAGAGAAAGAGCUUCUGCCCUGAGACUCAGAAAAAUACUCUCCUUGCUUCAUAUCAGUGUAGAUUUCUAGCCUCUGAUCAUGGCUUAAGAGAUAUUCACUGGGGGUCCUACGUCUCUGCAAUUUGUGUAUGAAUAACAGAAUAAUUUCCCUCUUUUGUUUCGCCUUUCCUGUUCCUGAAUCUAAAUAAAGAUGGCUUUUUAGUAUUAAAAGUGGAAGAAAAUUACAGGUAAUUAUCUUUGACGGUAAAAACGCUGUAAUCAGCGGGCUACAUGAAAAAUUACUCUAAUUAUGGCUGCAUUUAAGAGAAUGGAAAAAAACCUUCUUGUGGAUAAAAACCUUAAAUUGUCCCCAAUGUCUGCUUCAAAUUGGAUGGCACUGCAGCUGGAGGCUUUGUUCAGAAUUGAUCCUGGGGAGCUACGAACCCAAAGUUUCACAGUAGGAAGGGGAAAAAAAGAAAAGAAAACAUUUUUCCUAAUGUAACAAUGCGAAUGCUAGAAAAUGACAAGACUGAUCGGUUUUAAACCAUUCUGAAGACUGACUGAGCGUGGAAGUUGCUCAACAAAAAAAGGAACGGGUAUAUUGCUGCUGGGAUGGAGGGGAAAUCCACUUCUCUGGAAGAGCAUGGAUUUUGCUCCAUCUUACUUUCUCACUGCUGAUGAGCCCCUUGGACACCAACUUCAAGAUGACUGUGUAUGGCUGCCCAGGCUCAUCACCUGAAGCUUCUCUCUACAUUGCCUUCUUUGUUCCAGGGAGGUUGUCAUCAGAGUUGGAUCAGAGAUGAAACAGCUGGACAACAGUGUGGAUAGCUGACCUCUUGGGGCUCUAAGAUGUCAAAGAAUGUUACUAUGUUCAUGGAAAUACAAGGAUAAGAAAAUAUAUUUACCAGCUCUGCUCUUGGAGAGAAUGUAUGUGAAGUGGGAGGAAUAGUUUACAAUAUUCCCAAGAGUUAGUCAGUAAGGUUAAUCAGAAUAUAUAUAAAUAUGGGGUCAUUUUACCUCGUGACUUCUGGCUUUCAUACUGGGAUAUACCAUCUAUGUAUUCCUGGGAUAUUGUCUGUGAUCAUAAAGAAGGUUGUGUUUUCCAAUGGAACUGCUGCUCAAUUCCUGUCUUCUAAUAAGUACUAGACUCACCAAUCUAUUAGCUUACAUUUCUCUGCACUCUAGGACUUGACUUUGAAGAUGCUGGCAUUGCCUGUGUAUCUUAAUGUUCUAGAUGUGAGGCCUAUAGACAUGUGUUGGUGUCUUUGUUGACCUGAGCAUAAAGAUCAUGGCAACAGGGUAGUUCAAGUCCACUUAAACUUUUGUUUAGAGAUAGAUCUUGUACUGAAUUAAUUAGAGCAAUGGAGUACUUGGAUCUUCAAACUUAUUUGAAUGAAAGGUGACAUUGUUGGUUAUUUGUAAAAGAGGACAUCAUGGACCAUGCUUGGAAUCAUUAAACAUGGCACUAAUGGUCAUGCUUAGUAACCCCAACAAGUAAGCUAAGUAUAGCCUGCACUUAAGUACUCUGUGGAGACUUAGUCAUACAAUAGACACAAUUCCUGUUCUGUGAAAUAUACACUCUAGCUUCCUUGUAGGUGUGAAAAGUAGUUGAUACAGCAAGGGAGCAACUACAAAGACCUUUCCUGACUUCUAAUAGGUAGUUCCUAUCACCUCAAAUUACCUCCAGUAGUAGUUCCUACUGCCUCCGUUGACUUCCAAUGGCAGUUCCUACUAUGUCCAGUGAUUUUCAAUGGGUAGUCCUACCAUCUCUAGUAGAUUUACAAGGGGCAGUUCCCACUGCCUUAAUCAUACCCAGUGACUAUAUCCUCUAAGCACCCACUCUACACUUUAUGAACAUGGGCUGUUUUCCCCCAGCAAGUUGUGCCAGAUCCUAGGAUGCAAGGGGGAAGAACUCCAUUUUGCAGAGCUUGUGAUAAGGGAAACACUAAAUUAUUUGGAUCAGGAAAUGGAAAAGAUAGGAUUCAGAGCAACUAUUGCUUCUAUUCUUUGUAGGAAACUAAACUGUGAAAUACUCUUAGCUGGGAACUGUUAGUCCUGGGCUAUACAAACACACACACACACACACACACAUACACGUAUGUAUACAUAUAUACAUAUAUCAGAGAAACAGAGUGAGUGAGAAUGGGUAUGCCAUGGCCUCUAGCUGCUGCAAAUGAACUCCAGAUGCAUGUGCCACUUUGUGUAUCUGGCUUACAUGAGUACUUGAGAAUCAAACCCAGAUUGUUAGACUUUGUAGGCAAGUACCUUAACCACUAAGCAAUCUCUUCAGCCCAGUUCUGGGUUUUAGAAUUUGUUAUAACACUAAAGAGCUCUGUAACUGUGGUCAAACCAUUUUACAUUACAUUUGGAUGCGUCUGGAGUGACUCCAAACCUUGUCUAGCUCUGAAAUUAUUAACAUCAAGCCCCAAGCUACAGUUAACCUCUUUAAAAAUAUCCUGUUCUAAGUUGUUAGGUUAUAUGUAGAUCUUUAGUAGCUCCUGAAUUUCUUUUAGAGGGACCAUUUGUUUGUGUCAACUUUUUAAAAAUAGAGUGAGUUUGCUUCUCCCUUUGCCACUACAAUGAUGCUACCCCUACCCUCCCUCAUCCAUUCCUUGCUUGUAUUUCUCCUUCUCCUUUACUUGUUUGCAUUUCCAUAGAACUUUUACUACAUGCCAUGUUUCAGGUAUGCGCUAGAUUUGGAGAGACAUGAUAUCCAAUUGUCUCAUAGAGUUGUUCCUUCCCUUUUAUGUAUAGGUCUUUUUGUUUGGAGGGAGUCAAAUACAUCUCAAUGUAAUAUGGUAGUGGCACUACUGAGGUAACCACUCACAGGCAGAUACCCCAUUGUGCUCAAGCACAUCUUUUAUGCUCUAAGAUACACAUCAAGUAACCAUUCAGACCCAAGGUCAGUAAGAAAGAAGCUUUGCAUAGGCAUAAAGAAGAAAUAUCUAUGACUUCUGGGAUAUCUGUGUAGAGGGACAAUCCUUCCUAUUGUGGGGACUUCUGAAUAGUCUUACCCUGCAACUCAUACCCCCCCAGCUAGAGAGAAUCAAACCUUCAAAAAAAAAUUUCUCCAUAAAUGAACAUAUUUCAUAUAUACAGUGAUUACUUGGCUAGUGACCUCUUUAAAAAAAAAGAUAAAAGGAAAACCACUAAUCAGACAAAAGCAUUGCUUUGAAUUCCUACCUCAUUGCAAUCCUAUGUUAGCAAUUUCUCCUCAUCUUUGUUUCUUUCAGUAAUAGCAAGUUAGCUUCUUGUUGCUGGCAUAAAACACCAGAAAGCACCCUACCAAAAAAAGUUUAUGGGAAGAAAGGGUUCAUUUUGACUUACAGAGGGGAAGCUCUAUGAUGGCAAGGGACACCUUGGCACAUGCAGAGGCUGGGCAUCCCUCCUGGCUAUCUGGUGGACAGCAGUAGCAGGACAGUGUGCCAAAAACUGGCAAAGAGGACCUAGUUAUAACACCCAUAAACCUGCCCCCAACAAUACAUCACUUCCAAGAGGCUCCAGUUCCCAGAUUGCCACCAGCUAGGGACCUAGUAUUGAGAACACAAAUUUAUGGAGGAUACCUGAAUUAAACCACCACAAAGUCUAUUUAAUAUUUAUUUAUACCCAAGAGAAGAAAAUAUUUUAUGAAGAAAUAUAUCAGUGGAAUAUCAAAUUCAGAGUUGGGGAUACAAACUAUUUGGUUUGACAAUUUUAUCCUGGGAAAUAAUUUUAGGUAUUUCAAUUUACAGCUAAAGUGGUAAAAUGAACAAAUGAGCUACUGUUGACUUUGUAAGGCUCAUUAGGUAAAAUGGCUGGUAUGACUUUAGAAAGAAGCAAAAGACUGGAAAAAAUCCUACAAAGGGAAAGUCAACUGAAAUAAUUGACAACAUAUCAUAUAUUUUGUAUUUUUAUUUUUGAUUUUUUUUGAAACAGGGUUUCAUGUAGCCCAGGAAGCCAAAGCUGGUCUUGAAUUUGUGAUCCUCCUGCCUCCUCCUCCCAAGGGCUGGUGUUACAGACAUGUCCCACCAUGCUGCCAUGCUCAGCUCAUAUUUAAAUAUUUUACUGCAGCAUUUCUCCCACUACAUAGAAGUGGCAUCAAUAAAUCUAUAAACUCCAAACAUUCUAAUGAAAAGGAGAACCUUCGGCCAGUCAUCUCACAUUUCCAAAUACCUGAACAUUAUUCAUAGUGAAUACAAAACAAACAGAUAAUAGACUAGUAUUCUACAUCUGAUGUGAAUGAUCUGAUGUUUUGGAGCUCUAGCCACUGAAUAAGGCAAUUUAUAUAUUUUUUUCUUUCUCCCUCAAGAGAUAAAGAGAAAAAUCUUAUUUUUUUCAAGCAAUUAAAACUCUUCCUCUUCAGUUACAGUAUAACAAUUAGUUCUGUCUCCUUGUAUGUAAUUGCAUGUUUCAUCUUUCUUAUUUUACUGAUUGACAGAAAACUGAUAAACUGAGACAACUCUGCAUUAGGGUUGAAAGUACUCUCUUGGUGGCUUUAUUGCUAAUUUGUUUGACUAUUUUACAGGAUUUCUUACUCUGUCAUGGAAAGGUUUAUUAAAUAUGAGGGGUUCUAAGCUUUCUGAAUACUAAUGAACUUAUUUGCCAAAAUUUAAAUGUUCUUCUUGUCAGGGAAUGCCUGUCUCACUUAACAGAAUCCAAAUUGAAUAAUGAAGAAAAUAAGACUCUAUCAUACCCUCAAGGGAAAUUGUGUGUGAAUUGUAAUAUAAUACUGAGAGGGAUAGGGUCACAUUAAAAAAAUGGAGUAGAUAAUUUGGAUUAUUUUUUAAAAGGAUGAAUUCAGGGAAGUUCAUUUUUUCAAAGAAAUAUACAGUCAUUCAAGACUCAGGACUUCCUGCUACCCAAAAAAUCUAUACUUAUGGACAGUUUACAAUGAAAGUGAAGUUAGAGUUCUAUGGAAAUACAUACUGGUUUUCUGUGGUUACAAUUUACUAAACUUAUUCUCAUAUAAAACAUUUAUAUGCCUGUGAUGGAAAGGGAAAAUCAAUAAACUUGCAAAGUAAGUGAGCACUGUUCUUUAGAAGAAGUUCAAUAAGGAGAGAGAGAGAGAGAGAGAGGAAUUGUUGCAAUUCUUCCUCUACACAUAACAUAAUGAGGCUGUUCCUUGACCCAUGUGUUUACCUCCAUUGCCUUGGUCCUGUCACUAAUAAGGCCAAUGAUCAUGAUGCUUUUCCUUUGCCAGCACCUGGGGGCAUUGUGGGAUCAAUAUAGCUGUCCUCUUGUCCAGGGAGAGAACCUCAGCAGUGGCACCAACUGCCAAGCAUGGUCAGGGUAAAACACUGUGUGUGUGUGUGUGUGUGUGUGUGUGUGUAUAACUAAAACAACUGAGGAGAAGUGAGUGAGAAUGUAGAGGACACAUGGUGCAAGGUGAGAACUUUUCCUGUUGUCCUUGACACAAAUCUGAAAUUGGGGCAUGUUCACUGGGAAAAGAUGAAGGCAAAAAGACCCUAAAGCAUGAGAAACACUGAAAGGAAAAUGAAUAUCCAUAAUAUUUUUAAAAAAUGAUUUUCUUGAGAUUUCAAAGAAGGGAUAAAGAGAAGGAUCUCCAAAGAAAUAAGGGGAAGAGUCCCAAAGCUUAUGAAAUUUCCAAGACAAAAUUCAAUACACUUAAAAUUAAAAAGUAAAUGCUGUUCUACUAAUAAAAAUGGAUAAGAAGAGGCAGUGAUGACAGCAUGAUUUGUGCUUAGGUUUUAUUUUUUUUUCAGACCAUAGGAUAAAAUAGUUUACAUGACAGAACUGUAAGAUAUCAAUGUGUCUUUUGGAAAUAAUAUCAGGCUUUAUUCCCAAAGGGAAAAAGGAGAGUCAACAUAUUUUUGAUUAUCACUGGGAAAUAUUUUUAUUUAUUUAUUUGUAUGCAGAGAGAAAUAAGGCAGACAUACACUGAGAGAAUGGAUGCACCAGGGCUUCUAGUCACUGUGAAUGAACUCUAGGUACAUGUGCCACUUUUUGUUAUCUGUCUUUAUGUGGGUAUUUUGGAGUCAAAUCCAGGUCAUUAGGCCUUGCAGGCAAGUGCUAUAACUGCUGAACUAUCUCUCCGGCUCCUCACUGCAUAAUAUUUCACCUGAGAGCACAUUUCCUUUAUUACCUCCUAAAAUAAUAAAUGAACUAAUUUAUUUGACUGCUUCUGUGGGAAGGCAUAACAGUUACAAUGCUAGACUUCUCUACCAUUAGGAUGAUAAUUUUAUUUUAAAAAUUUAGUAAACAAACAGAAAGAGAUGAAGAUUCACAUCCACCAUAGUCAUGCCCUUUCCUGAUGGACAUAAAGAUAUGCUUGGCAAACAGGAAGGCAUGGGAAUAAGAUGACUAGAAGGAAGAAGGCUGAAAACCACAUAACACAACCCAAUUUGUGAGAAAAUUAAAUGAACAAUAGAAUUUGAAAGAUGAGUGUGUAAUAAGGAACAUAAAACAAUAAGACUUUUAGAAAGAGGAAAUUACUUGGGAAAUGAGGAUGAAUGAUAAAUUAUAUGAGAGAUGAUUAAGGGAUUUGGGAGGUUAGGGGAGGGAGGAGAUAAUUGGGAUAGAAAACAAAAUGUGACUAAUGGCUGAAAAGGACAAGUUUGAACACUUUGUGUCAGAGCCCUCAAUCUUUGGAAAAGGCAUACAACCUGGAAAUGAAAGAGGAGCACAUGAGAAGAGCUCAUGGUUAACAUGAAAUCAUAAUAAGGACAAUAGAAGCAAUAAGUGUCAUUAGUCUACAGGAAUGAAAGCAUUUAUAUAGAAAUCUAUUAGUCUGUUUCUUCAUUCAUUUGUGAGUAGAAUAAUUUUCCUCUUCCUUUACAAGAGGUUGAUUUAUAAAAUUAAUGCUAUUAAAGGGAAGAAAAACCAUGCAUGAUCAGGGAAAUUAUGAAAAGAUUGCACAUAGAAUAAGUGAAGUAGGGAGUAUAUGAGAAAAUCUAUUCACAGCUUUGUAUUUAAAAUUUUGAAUUUCUAAACCUUAGAAAACAACUUAAAAUCAUUUAUUUAAAUAGAAAUUUGUGUAGCAAUGAGAGAGGAAGUUUUUACUGAUGUAAAUAUUUUAGAGUAUAUUUUCCCACAAUAUUUUCCCCAUAAAAUGAGUGUACUGAAGUUAAAAAGCUUUAGUGUAUGAUUUGAAACACUUAGAUUUACAGUUAUAUAAUGUAAAUGGAUAGUAAUAGAUAUAAUGUUGAUAUUUGCAAGUCAAAAUGCCUGUUAUUUUCCUUUUUGUAUUCCUGUGUUUAUGCAGGGGAUUCCUUGUAGUCAGAUAGCACCAGACCCCCUUUGGAGGGAAGCUGAUAAAGUAAUUUAGCUGGAAAGGCUUAAUGAGAUAAUGAUACUAAGGCCAGUUAACACCUAAUAAGAACAUAACCACGAGGGAUGAUAUUGUUGCUUAUUAAUUAUAAUGAUGAUGAUGUGGAGGGAAGAGACAAGAUGGUACUCAUUUAGUAGAGAGUACUCAGGAGUAUGGCUGGCUCCCAAAGCAAAGCUGCAGUAAGGUGGACUUAGAAGUAAGUCAACAUUUAACAGAGUUCUAAAUUUAUGGCUUCUGGGUUAUAUUGGCAAAAACAGAACUGAAGGCCAUGCAGGAGGGAAUAGAUACCUUCAUGAUGGUGGCUAGGGUUAGAGUGGAGAUCUCUGUGGUUUCCAGGCCAUGUGCAGAAGACAGACUCCAGGUUGAGAUUUGGAGCAAUCUGUUAAACAGGAGAUUCCAUAGUGGUCAUUCAUGGGCACACAGGCCCAUAUCCAAGAUGGACUGGCUAUGCUUCCAGUACUGUGAUCUUCCCUGCUAGCCCUAGAUUGAGUGAGUCAGACCCAGAUUGGAGCUAUUCAAUCAGUGUUGACACUAUGCCCUGGAGAGGGAGCUCCAAAAUUCUUUUGAUUCUGUUUGUAGCAGUAUACUUAUUUGCUGACUUGUACUUAUGCAGUUUGGGUGUUAGGGCUCUAAUUCUGCUUCCUAUGUAGUCAGGGCAGGGCAACUGUAGCUACAUUCAUCUGUAAUAACCACGUCUAAUAGUCAUCUGUAAUAGUCAGAUUUGUAUGAGUAGAGAACACACAAUAAGAGAAAGUAAAGAGUGCCUUUGGAAAUCUUAGAAUUUCUUCAUGGAGGCAUAGAUGCUGGAAACAUGGAACUAGCUUGGGAUUGCUAACAGGAGACCUGGGAAGGAAUGUGACACUUACCUCUACUUUCUGUGAGGAUCCAGAAGCUAAGGUUCACUCUAUUGGAUUUUUCAAUGCCCCCACUUCAAUGACAGGGAUGGUUUCCCAUGCCUUUUUGUGCUAUUGAUUUUAUUAGCUGAAUGAAGACCAUUUCACAGUAUUUUUCUCACCCUAUGUGAUGAUGUCACUAGUUUUGGCAACAGAAAGGAAAUGACAUCUUCACCAUUAGCUUCUUAAGGUACAUUAACUUCAGCUUAAUUAAAUAUGUGGUUUGAGAGAGGCAAGAAGUGAAAGAUUAGAUGAAAAAAAGAGUGCUUCAUACCAGUCCUGUGAUCUUGGGCAAGUCUCUUGCCUUUCUGAACUUGGCUUUCCCCAUUCAUAAAAUGAGCUACUGUUGAAGAUAUUCACUAAUUUUAAAGACAUGUUCAGUGUUAAAAUUCUAUUUGUUGAGCUAGAGAGAUGGCUUAGCAGUUAAGGUGUUUGCCUGUGAAGCCUAAGGACCCUGGUUUGAUUCCCCGAAAGACACUUAAGCUAGAUGCAUAAGGGGGCACAUGUGUCUGGAAUUUUUUUGCAGUGGUUGGAGGCUAUGGUGCAUCCAUUCUUUCCUUCUCCCUCCUCUCUCUCUCUCCAUCUUUCUCUCUUAAAUAAAUAAAUAAAUAAAAGGUUUUUAAAAAAUUCUAUGUGUUACACACCCACAUUUCUAAGGAUUCUACAUAUGUUUAGGUUAUGUGAGAGAGGUAGUUGAUAAAUGCUGUUGUCUUAUAUCUGUGGUUCAGAGUAGAUUGUAAAGGUCAGCUACCAAUCAAUGACAUAACUACUUGCUUACUGAGUAGUAAAUAUUAGGCAGCCACAUGCCACCAGGUGCUACAUACAGAUGAAAUGAAAUCUUUCAAAAGAUUAAAUUAGAACUGAAGAGAUGCCUCAGUGGGUAAAGGAACUUGCUAGUAAAGCCUCAUGGCCCAAGUUCAAUUCCCCUGUAUCUACAUAAAGCCAGAUAUACAAAGUGGCACAUGUGUCUAGAGUGCAUUUACAGUGCAACAUGCCCUGGCUCACCCAUUUCCUCUCUUUCAUUCAUAUUCUCUCUUUCUCUUUCCUUGCAAAUAAGUAAAUAAAAUACUUUUAAAAAGAUUAAAUUAAGUCUUUCAAGAUUAUAUAGUCAAUAAGAAGCAGAGUGAACAUUCAAUCCCACAUCUCUCUGACACUAAAGUGUUAACCCUUAUCACUGCCAUGUGUCUCCCGCUAUUUAGAAUACAAUACUAAUGUCCCAUAACUCAUAACACAAGUCACUAAAUCAUAAUAAUUCUCAGCUGAGAAGUGAGACAGGUACAAGCCAAAAAGUUUAAAGUCUCCCUGCUCAGCUGACGCUGAUACACAUCCCUUUGCUUCUAACUAUCUGCUUUCUUUGAACCAUCACUCUGCCAACCAUGCUUACAUGAUUAUCUAAAAAGCACUUUGCUGGGCAAGGCAGAUAGAUUAAUAGGCAAAGUGCUUGCUUUAUAAACAUGAGGACCCAAGCUCAAUCCUCAGCACCCAUCUAAAAAUGCCAGGUGUUGUGACAUACAUUUGAAAUCCCAGUGCUGGAAAGGCAAUGACAGGGCAGUUUCUGACUCAACAGCAAGCCAGUUUACCUUACUUGAUGAGCUCUAGGCCAAUGAGAAAGCCUGUCUCAAAAAAGGUAGACAGUGUUCCUGAGGAAGGACACUUCAGUUAUAUUCUGGUCUUCAUAGGCAUGCACAUGCAUAUUCACACACACUAGGCAUGCAUACUAAAUAAAUGAAAUAAAAUAAAAUAAACACCUUGAUUGCAAGCUAUUGUAAUCCCGUUUCUUCCACAUGUUGAGGGAGAGACACUGAACACAUUUUUCUUUUGUCUUCAAAUGGGAAUUAAAGCAAAGAGAAUCAAAUGAUAAAACUUUACACACCUACUCAGUGGUGAAGUGGUCACAGACCUGGCAUCCCUCAACAUCUUAAGACUUCAGAAGGCUGGGUAUAGUGGUAUACACCUGUAAUCCUAGAAUUUGGGAAACUGAUGGUAGAGGAUCUUGAGUUGGAGGCCAGCCUGUUGUACAUAGAGCGACCCUGUCUCAUAAAAAUGAAACGAAGAAGCAGAAAAGAUUCAAGCAAUACAAGAUUGUUGUCUUUUUAGCCAAUUCAAUUAAUAAUGAUUUUUUAUAUGAAAGGAAAGUGUCACUUCUGACAUCUGGCAAAUAAGUAAUAUUAUUUUUGAGGUAUGUUUUCACUCUAGGCCUCCUUCCUGGAAGCAACUUCACAGACCCACUUAUGAAGAAUGUCUGUGGAUUCUUAAACAGGCCAAGUUGACACAAAACUUAACCAUCACACAUACCAAAUUUUUAUUCAGUAUGGCUGCAUUCAGCUAAUGGUGAAAAAUUAGAAACUUCCAAGUAUGGGAUUUGAUUAAAGAAAGACAUGAUAGAAUCUUGUUUGCUAUUUAAAAGAAUGACAUAGUUCUUUAUAUAAAAUGAUUUUUUAAGAUGUACAGUGAACAUUUAAAAAACAAGGUAUAUAGUGAGAUGUAUUGUAUGCUACUUUGUAUAUGCAUAAAUGUUCAGUAUGUUUAUAUGCAUUGUGAAACUAUGGAGAGAUAUUCAAGGAACUGGAAAUAGUGGUUGUCUCUGGGGAAACAGACUGGCCGGGAGACUGGUGAAAAACUAUCUAUCUUGUUGUCCCUUUUAUACAGUCUAUCAUCUUCAUAUAUUACCUAUUCAUAUUUUUAUAAGCUAAGAGGUAGAGCUACUUUUCCUUGAGAUGGAAAAAAUACAAAAGACAUAUUGUUAUGUAUAAAAAGCAAGUUGCAGAAUAGUAUAAAUAGAAUAUUAUCCAAUUUUUGUAAACAUAUGUAUCUAGGUACAUAUAUGUAUGUGUAUACAAUAACACAUCUUUAAGAAUGUGUACCACAUUGUUCAUAGUAGUUCUCUCUAGGGAGAAAAAGUAUGUAUGUGUAUAUGUGCAUUUAUAAACAUUUUAUGCUCACACAAUAUAAACACCAAUUCACAAUAAAUAAUUUGUAAAACUCUAAAGAGGGGCUGGGGAGAUGACUGGGUGGGCAAAGCAUUUGCUGUGCAAGCAAGGAAACCUGACUGUGGAUUCCCAGAACUAGUGUGAAGAAAACCAGACCUGGAAAUGUCUGCAGUGAGAUGGGAGGAAGAGCUAGGACAGUCCCUGGAAACUUACAGGCCACCUAGCUUGGCAUACAUAGUGGUAAAGACACCCUCCCUCAAACAAGCUAGAAGAUGAAGACCAACACCUAAGGUUGAUCUCUGAUCUGCACACAUGUACCACAGCACACACAGCCCCACACUCACACUCAUGUAUACAAACACACACACACACACCCCUAACUUAGCAUACAUAGUGGGAACAAGAGACCUGGCCUCAAACAAGAUAGAGAUUAAGACCAAUACAGGAGGUUGUUCUCUGACCUUCACACAUGUGCUAUAGCACACAUACCCUCACACACACACACACACACACACACACACACACACUUACACAUACCAUACACACUCAUACACACAUCACACACAUGAUUUAAAAAAAACAAAAAAAAAAAACUAACCAAAUUUGACAGACACAAUUUCAGAGGCCAAUCUUUCUGGUGAGCCUGUUUUGUUGUGUGCAACAUCUCAUAGAUUCUCUUCAGAUCUCUUCCUUGUUCUCUACCCUGAUUCUUCCUGAACUUCCUGGUUUUUUGUUUAUCCUCUCGUGUAUUUGCUACAAUCAGAAGAACUCAGCUAAGGUUCUGACCAAGAAAUUACAGUUAUACUGCUAACAGUUCCUCUUUCCAUUUAAAUUAAUCCCGAAUGGUGUGGCAAAAUCCUUCUUGUACCUACUUUAGAGACUUCUACCUGAAUUAACUGAGUAAACUCUCUAUUUUAAGAACA